rnacentral:rRNA from 1 species
AUUGGACGCUGGCGGAAUGCUUUACACAUGCAAGUCGAACGGCAGCACGGGGGCAACCCUGGUGGCGAGUGGCGAACGGGUGAGUAAUACAUCGGAACGUGCCCAAUCGUGGGGGAUAACGUAGCGAAAGCUACGCUAAUACCGCAUACGAUCUACGGAUGAAAGCGGGGGAUCGCAAGACCUCGCGCGAAUGGAGCGGCCGAUGGCAGAUUAGGUAGUUGGUGGGGUAAAGGCUCACCAAGCCAACGAUCUGUAGCUGGUCUGAGAGGACGACCAGCCACACUGGGACUGAGACACGGCCCAGACUCCUACGGGAGGCAGCAGUGGGGAAUUUUGGGACAAUGGGCGCAAGCCUGAUCCAGCAAUGCCGCGUGAGUGAAGAAGGCCUUCGGUUGGUUAAAAGGACGUACUUUUCUACGUUUGAGAAGAAAAGAAUUAGUGACUAAU